rnacentral:rRNA from 1 species
GACGAACCGAGCGAACGUUGUUCGGAAUCACUGGGCUUAAAGGGCGCGUAGGCGGGUGCUCAAGUCCGUGGUGAAAUCCUCCGGCUCAACCGGAGAACUGCCUCGGAUACUGGGUGCCUCGAGGGUGGUAGGGGUAUGCGGAACUAUCGGUGGAGCGGUGAAAUUCGUAGAUAUUCGCAAGAACACCAGUGGCGAAGGCGGCUCACUGGCCCGGUACUGACGCUGAGGUGCGAAAGCGUGGGGAGCAAACAGG